rnacentral:rRNA from 1 species
AUGGUGGUAACGGGUAACGGGGAAUUAGGGUUCGAUUCCGGAGAGGGAGCCUGAGAAACGGCUACCACAUCCAAGGAAGGCAGCAGGCGCGCAAAUUACCCAAUCCCGACACGGGGAGGUAGUGACAAUAAAUAACAAUACGGGGCUCUUUCGGGUCUCGUAAUUGGAAUGAGUACAAUUUAAAUCCCUUAACGAGGAACAAUUGGAGGGCAAGUCUGGUGCCAGCAGCCGCGGUAAUUCCAGCUCCAAUAGCGUAUAUUAAAGUUGUUGCAGUUAAAAAGCUCGUAGUUGAAUUUCGGGAUUGACACAUCGGUCGUGCCUUAAGGGGUAUGAACUGGUGUAGUCAAUUUCUCACCUUCUGGAGAACCGCGAUGCCCUUAAUUGGGUGUCACGGGGAACCAGGACCUUUACUUUGAAAAAAUUAGAGUGUUUAAAGCAGGCAUUUUGCUUGAAUACAUUAGCAUGGAAUAAUAAAAUAGGACGGCAUGAUUCUAUUUUGUUGGUUUCUAGGAUCACCGUAAUGAUUAAUAGGGAUAGUUGGGGGCAUUAGUAUUCAAUUGUCAGAGGUGAAAUUCUUGGAUUUAUUGAAGACUAACUACUGCGAAAGCAUUUGCCAAGGAUGUUUUCAUUAAUCAAGAACGAAAGUUAGGGGAUCGAAGACGAUCAGAUACCGUCGUAGUCUUAACCAUAAACUAUGCCGACUAGGAAUCAGACGAUGUUAAUUUUUUAAUGACUCGUUUGGCACCUUACGGGAAC